AAUUCUAGCAAACAUUUUAUCAGAUAUUCCAGUGGUAUGGCUUUUAUGUUAACAUCACACUUCUACCAUAGAAUGUUUUACAACAGACAUCACAGAUGUGACUGGAUAAUUUGAGAAACGCCAAAUUACAACUCGCAGACGAUAAAUCUGGAAAAUAAAAAUAAAUAAAUCUCUAUUGAUUAGAGGUAAGUUUUUACCACACAAUCCAAUGUCACUUCCGGUAUGUCAACCCCCACACCUCAAUAAAUAUGUAAACAUUGCAGUUAUAUUAUUUCUAAUAAACUUAUGAGAUUUUUCAUUAACCAGAAGACAAUAGAGAUAUUUUGUAAGAAAAGUUGAAAGUUCUGCUCAUCAAUUUCAAGUCUCACUAUUCGGUACGUUUCUCUUUAAUUUAUCUUAAAACUAAGUAGUUAUGAUACCUGAUGGCAUUGAGAUAAGAAUAUAUCACUGAAAGAUUAGAGAAUCAAAUUUUGAAGACUAGAAAUAUAUUCAUCAAGCUAAUGUCAGCCUUCAGUUUAAUGGAUGUAAAAUAUUUCCUUGGAGUUGGCAUUAUUUGUGAAAGUACACAAAUGUUUAUUGGAAAAUAUUUCUUAGUAGAUGAGACAUCAUCAGACUUUGGUAAAGGCCAUCAGAGUGGGAAAGUAAAUAUAGAUAUAGAUAUAUUUCUAUUAUGAAUAUACAAAGAAAACAGUAAAUUUAAAGAGAAAGUCAUGGAGGAGAAAUUAUGUGAUAACCUGGUUAUGAGUAGAACAGAAACUGAAACUAUUGAUAUAUUUGAUCAGAUACAGGAAAAUACAGAAGAGAAAUCACUCUGUUGUGACAUCUGUGGGAAGUUAUUUACAGUAGAAAAUAGUUUAAAUCAGCAUAAAUUAAUUCACUCAGUGUUAAAGCAAUACCAUUGUGAGGUUUGUGGUAAAAUAUUCACUACAAGCAAUGUAUUAUUGCACCAUAUACGUAUUCAUACUGAAGAGAGGCCAUACCACUGUGACAGCUGUGGUAAAACAUUCUCUCAAAGGGGUCAUUUAUCUGAACACAGGCGAAUUCACACUGGAGAAAAAACUUACCAUUGUGAUAUAUGUGGUGAAACAUUUUCUAGAAAUUCACAUUUCUCUCAACACAAGCACACUCAUACUGGUGAGAAACCAUAUCACUGUGAUAUUUGUGGCAAAACAUUCUCUCAAAAGGGCCAUUUAUCUCGUCAUACAUAUAUUCACACAGGAGAAAGACCAUAUCAGUGUGAUACCUGUGGUAAAACAUUUUGUCAGAGAGGUUAUUUAUCUGAACAUAAGUGUAUUCACACAGGGGAGAAACCUUAUGGUUGUGAUGUUUGUGGUGAAAAAUUUUCUAGAAGUUCUCAUUUGUACCGACACAAAUGUAUUCACACAGGAGAGAAACCAUAUCAGUGUGAUAGCUGUGGUAAAACAUUCUCUGAAAGUGGUCAUUUAUCUCAACACAAAUAUAUUCAUACUGGAGAGAGGCCAUACCCCUGUGCUAUCUGUGGCAAAACAUUUGCUAGAAGUAGUAAUUUAUAUUCCCAUAAACGCAUCCACUCAGGAGGGAAACCAUAUGAUUGCAACAUCUGUGGCAAAACGUUCUCCCAAACUGGCUGCUUAUCUUCUCACAAACGUAUCCAUAUCGGAGAGAAACCAUAUCACUGUGAUAUCUGUGGUGAGACAUUUUCUAGAAUUGGCCAUUUGUCUUGCCACAGACAUAUUCACACAGGAGAGAAACCAUACCACUGUGAUAUCUGUGGUAAAACAUUUUCUCAAAGAGGUCAUUUAUCAUGCCAUAAAUAUAUUCAUACAAGAGAAAAACCAUACCAUUGUGAUAUAUGUGGUAAAGCAUUUUCCAAAAGUGUUAAUUUAUCUUCCCACAAACGCAUCCACACAGGCGAAAAACCAUACUGCUGUGAUAUCUGUGGUAAAACAAUUUUUCAAAGAUCUAAUUUGUCUUCACAUAGACAUACUCACUCAAAGAAGAAACCCCAUCAAUGAUAUUCUUUUGGUCAUUUAACUGUAGCCAUGCUGGAGCACUGCCUUUAGUUGAGAAAAUCGAUCCCAGGACUUAUUCUUUUAAAGCCUGGUACUUAUUCUAUCGGUCUCUUUUGC
rnacentral:misc_RNA from 1 species